rnacentral:rRNA from 1 species
GGGGAAUUUUCCGCAAUGGGCGAAAGCCUGACGGAGCAACGCCGCGUGAGGGAUGAAGGCCUCUGGGCUGUAAACCUCUUUUCUCAAGGAAGAAGAUCUGACGGUACUUGAGGAAUAAGCCACGGCUAAUUCCGUGCCAGCAGCCGCGGUAAUACGGGAGUGGCAAGCGUUAUCCGGAAUUAUUGGGCGUAAAGCGUCCGCAGGCGGCCUUGAAAGUCUGCUGUUAAAGCGUGGAGCUUAACUCCAUUUCAGCAGUGGAAACUACAAGGCUAGAGUGUGGUAGGGGCAGAGGGAAUUCCCGGUGUAGCGGUGAAAUGCGUAGAUAUCGGGAAGAACACCAGUGGCGAAGGCGCUCUGCUGGGCCAUAACUGACGCUCAUGGACGAAAGCCAGGGGAGCGAAAGGGAUUAGAUACCCCUGUAGUC